rnacentral:lncRNA from 1 species
UAAUUUUCGGUGCUGCGAUUCGACGCACGGUUGGUGAGUAUUAGCAAAAUCGGGCCGAACCGGAUUACGGAUGCCGCGGGAGGCCGAUUGCAAGUGUCGACAAGCAAUCGGAAAGCGAUUUGAGGUGUGUUGUGUUUACCGAAGCGACUAGGUCGCCUGUAUGUCUAAGAUGAGUAUUUAUCAUUGAUGCAUAUUAUGGUAGCUAGUAGU